GUACUUUAUUUAUUAUUAAUGUUUUUGUAGUCCUAUAUUUUGUUUGAGUGAUCUCUUUCAUCUGUCGUCCGCAUCUGACAAAGUGUUUUUGUUCUUCUUCGACAUGUCUUGGAGGUGCUGUGUUUCUGGUUGUGGUUCCGAAGGAGUACCUAUAUUUCGUAUUCCAAAAUUGAAUGAAAGUUUAAAAACUGCUUUGAAAGAAAAAAAAAAGGAACGAAGAAUUGUUUGGCUUCAAAAGCUAAACGUGAAGGAAUGUGACUUAAACAACAACACUCGUGUUUGCUCUCAUCAUUUUGCAUCUGGCAGGCCAUGUAAGAAUUCUUUCGAUAACUCUCACCCGGACUGGGCACCUUCACUACACGUCAGAAAUUCUAUUUUUGACAGGGUUGUACAGAGAAACAUUAGUCGACAUUCCAGAAGGCUUGAAAGGGAAUCAAGAACAUUGGAACAGAUCAAUGCUGUCGUAAACAAUGGAAAGAGUGCCGCCAAUAGACAAGAUAAUGAUGUGCCCAAUGCAGUGGUAAACAACGAACAUGAUUGUCUGAUAUGUUGGAAAGUGGAAGCAAUGAUUUUGCAUCUGAACAAGUUCCUAAUUUUUUCGGUGUAGAAAUCAGCGAUGAAUGUAACAACGGUGUUGAAAACCAACAUGAAGCUACUGGAGUCUACAAAAUAUUGGAACUGAUGACAACCCUAGCGGAGUUUUGUCGGGUCGGAUCCCGUGUUGAACCAGUGUGCUUCACCCGUGUGAAGUGUGACACUGGUGAAACACACUGGUGUUACACCUCUUGUUCGCGUGAUAGGGCGGGUUUAACACCGGUGUAAAUUAUAAAGCUUUACCCGCAAAUUUUAUAGUUAUUUUGCACCGGUAUUGUUCUAGUUAAAUAUACCCGUAUAAAGCUCAAAUUUGUCCCAGUGUACUUCUCUGAUUAUCCCUACUAUAUUAACCGGUGUAAUACACUAAUAUGUAACUGGUGCACUUCUCCAGCUGAAAUUUUUGUAUAAUGGGUGCAUAAACCCGUAUCAAACCCUUUACAUGUACUGGUGAUUUUCUCCAGUUUUAAUCUCAUGCAAUUUGUUGGUAGAUCACACUAGUGUUACCCUAUUGCAUUUUUUUGGUGCAUCGCACUGGUUUUGAACCCUUCAAACAUACCAGUUUUCACAGUUACA
rnacentral:misc_RNA from 1 species